UCUGUAAUUACUUCUUGGCUUCAUAAAAGACUGUAAUAAUAAUAUAAAUUUAUUUGGCCGAAAACAUAAAUCUUUACAUACAUGAAUUACAAUAAUAUAAAGAACAAUUACCAAUACAUAUACAAAUAUUAAUACUUAUUCAGUUAAACUAGAAUAAUAUAAAUUAAGGCGGGCCACAAAAAUUAAAUAUCCGCCACAUAAGUUACUGAUGCAUAAAAUGCAAAAAUAAAAUAAAAUAAAUAAACUAGAAAUUUGACAAAAAUAAAAAAAAAAGGAGAGGGCGGGUGGGUAAAUUUCGAUCUGAUUACUCUAACGUAUUCUAAUGUAAUGACUAGGAAAAAGAAUUCACUUUAAAACUAAAGGUGGAGUGAACACAAUUCAAAAUCAGUUAUGCGAGAAUAUCAAAUGAUCGGCCAAAGGGGGGUAACUAGAACAUAUUUCGCAUCGUAAUUACUAGUUUUUUAGAAAAAACAAACCAAUUACUUCUUGGCUUCAUAAAAGACUGUAAUAAUAAUAUAAAUUUAUUUGGCCGAAAACAUAAAUCUUUACAUACAUGAAUUACAAUAAUAUAAAGAACAAUUACCAAUACAUAUACAAAUAUUAAUACUUAUUCAGUUAAACUAGAAUAAUAUAAAUUAAGGCGGGCCACAAAAAUUAAAUAUCCGCCAAACUAGCCCGCCAAACAAAACCAAACAAGUUACAGAUGUGGUUAAACCCAAGAGAUGUAACACUCUCUUGAAAGUUCAACUCCAAGCAGUAAGAAUAAAACACUUCUUCAGCUGCUAGAUCUACUUAGGAGAUACUCACGGAAAUCUCUCCUAAAAGUAGAGUACCUUAAAGAGACAUAUAUACACUAAUGAAUCCAAAGGAUGAAACACUCCCUUGAAAAUUCAAACACCUAAGGAAUGAAACACUCCCUUUAGGCUAGCCUAUAAAAACUAAAUAAUAAUAAUGACAUACAUGAAGACAAAAUACAAAAUACUAAAUUAUUUACAUAUGAUUAAUAGCAUGCUGGAAACACUUGCGCAAUUCAUAUUGCCCAGCUUCAUUAAGGUGAAGCCCACCAUCUUUAAAAGCAAAUAAUGACCUUACUGGAAUGUAUGAUUAUACGCAGAAACCGGACAAAGGACAGAGCCAGGGAUUUUAACCAACGGAAUCUUUAAUCUUCUUUCCCCAUGUUGAAUAGUCUUAGUCCAUUCAAAAACAACUAUAGCAAUAUCGUUAACAACAAAGACUUUACCUCUGGUCAAUUGCUUAUUCUUGUCAAAUUGAGAACAAGAAUCUGGAACUAAGUUAGAUUUCCUGGACAUCAAGAAAAAGGCAAACAAAAAAAGACACCAAUAUACACAAUCAGAACCAUUUUCUAAAUUAAAAUGUUCCACCAUCUCUAAUAAAAUAUCUGGUGAAAUGGGUAAAGCUCUACGUGGCAUAUGUGACUUGGUUCGUGACAAUCCUUUAAGCAGUAAUUUAUAAACAAAACUGUCUAAGUGUGGAAAAGAGCAAUCCAACAUUAAAUGCAUAACUUUUACACCAUUAAUAUAAUUCUUAAUAGAUUCUACAGAUUUAAAAGACCGAC
rnacentral:lncRNA from 1 species